AUGGCCAGUAUGCGCAGAAGAAAUUUAGCUGCUAAUGUUAUUCUAUCGCAAGUUAGAAACACACUAAAACUAACUUUUAAGAAAUGGUUGAGAUGAAAUUGGUCUAGCAGUUUCACUUGGUCCACUUGAUAGUAACAGGUAAGAACUGUUGUAUCUCUAAGUUCAGCUGUAGUUUUCUGUGGAAACUUCAACCUUCUAUCAUGAUUGGUGUUGACAAAUAUCUAUCAAUCGGAAAGAAGAGUCUACUACUGUGUCCUUCAAAAUACACAACCAGUUUUGAGGCUUUUAGCUUCAGGUUCAGGGGAGAAUCAACCAUGGCCGUGGUAGCAAUUCUUUCUUCCACCUUGUCACGGAUUAUCAAGUUAUCAGCGUUGCAUGUCCUUGAAUGUCAAAGCCCUGUAUGGGGUGGUAUUGAUGAGGAACUUCAGAAGCUCCGCAGAGCCUUGCUUGGUGUCCACGCUAUUAUGGGAGAUGCAGAAGAGAGGCAGCUCAAGGACAAGGCUGUCCAGGAAUGGUUGAAUGAGCUCAAACAUGUUAUGUAUGAUGCGGAGGACCUAUUGGACGAGGCCAAUUCACAUGUCAUACUUAUCCAGCUUAAGUCAGAACGUCAAGGUCACAGGAUGAGCAAGGUGCGCAACUUCUUCUCUCUUGAUAACCCAUCCUUUUUUCUGCUGAAGCUUGGGAACAAGCUUAAAAGCAUCACCCGGCGAAUAGAUGGUAUCAUGGAGGAGAUGCACAAGUUCAAUUUCAAGGUUGAUGCUCUGCCUUUGGCUCAAAGGACCAGACCAUAGACUCACUCUUUUGUAAUUGAAUCAGAGGUGAUUGGCAGACAUGAAGAUAAGGAGAAAAUAGUAGAGAUGCUCAUUAGUCACCAUUUUGAUGAGAAAGUGGCAGUGUUUGCUAUCACCACAUCUUUUCAUUCCUGCUGCGGCUGAUUUUCAUUUGUACAACAAUUGCAUUAUCUCUCUGCUUCUCUGUUUCCAAUGCAAACCAGUACCACUCUGCUCUACUAUCUCUGUUUUUAACAUUCUUUCUGCUUUCUUACUCAAUUGCAAGUUUCUUACGAUCCUUCAUCCAUAAAUAGUUUUGUUAUAUUUAGGCUUGAUGUCUUGAAGGAGAAUUUCAUUUUCAGACCAAAGAAUUCUACAACAGACGUGUAAUGGGAAGGAAGCUCCUACCAUGUGUCUUUGAAGGGCUAGAUAAAUCAAUUUACUACACAAGUUGCAAGAGACAUGAAGAGAAGGGGUAGUGCAGAGUCAGAAAUCAAUAAUUGAAUGGAAGUGCAUUUGCUUCCCUGUGAGAAAGCAGUGAACAAGGUAGGAGAGCCAAAGCAUUUGAACAUUGGUGGCAAACUUGUGUUGUAUGAACUCCGCAAUGUGAAGAAUGCUGAUGAGGGGAAAGAAACUGAUAUGAGCUGCAAACAAAAUAUUAACUCAUUGUUCUUGUUUUGAGGAGCAUCAAAGCAUCAUGAGGCGGAAAAUGCACAGCAAAUGUUGGAAGCCUUGAAACCUCACACUGCGUUAAAACUGGUCAGUCUGCAUGAUUAUCUGUGCACACAGUUUCCAAUGUGGAUGAGAGACCAAUAACUUGAAAAUCUGGUUCAAAUCUCCUCUGAAAUUGCAUCAAGGCAGAUGUGAGGAAUUGACUUUGUUGCUGGAAGACAAGGAGACGAGACUUAUGAUCCCAUCACUUCACUUAUUUGAUGAUUGCAAGCAGUUCUCAUUAGAAGCAGCUUUGCAGAACCUUACAACUCUCAAAGAUACCAAGAUUUAUAAUUUAGAAAAGCUGGUGCCCUGGCCAGAUGAGACGUUGCGAGAUCUUAAGUCCCUUAAACUUCUGGAUAAUUUUCUUGUAAGAGUUUAAUUUGUCUGUCAUCGCAAGGAGACUGUGGCUCACUGUUUCUAGAGCAUCUUGUGGUUUCUUCUGAUUGUGAUCAUUUGAAAGAAUUUCCAGUGCCCCACAUUACUCCAAAUCUUGGUUGUUAACAAUUGUCCAAGCAUCAAGUCUUUGUGGCCAGAGAUGGGACAGCUUCACUAAUUCUUUUAGGGUUACAUUAAUGUCCCAAAUUGGUAUCUCUACCAGAAGGGAUGCAAGACAUCACUUCCCUUCAGUAUCUAUCUAUUAAUAAUUGUCCUGAGCUGAAAUCAUUCCUAGAAGGCAUCCAACAAUGGCUUCCUGCUCUUAGAAAGCUGGAAAUCAAAGAAGGGCCUAAGCUGGAGAGGCGAUGCAAACGAGGAGACUAUGGGCACCUUGUCCAUAACAUCACAGAAAGAUCCAUAGGAAACAGUCCCAAGAGGUUUCUAUUGAGCAAGAAACAUGAAUGGGACGUCCUGAAGCAAGUCAUUGUUGCUGCCUUUUCCUUAAUGCGCUAGAAACAAGACCACUGGCUUUGUUGGUUUCAGUAAUUUCACAAUGUCUUGGAUUUUGUUGAGGUUAUUCUUGAGCAAGAUUUUUGUGGGAGAAAAGCAUGCUUAUCAAAUUGUGUUGGUAUCCACCUUACAUAAGAAAAAACAAGGACCUGAAUGUCUGGAAUCCAUAUGAUAAGGAAGAUCAUUUUUCUUAUUUUCAAGUAGCAAGCUUGAUGCUGGCUGUCCACCUGUGAAUAUGAUUUUCUAUAUUAUUGCCUCAAUAUAUAUUGCUAGGACACCGAAAGACAUGCAGGAUCAGUGAUCACAAUUAAAGAUGGAAUGGUGUUCUUAAUUAAUAGCUCAUAAUCAUCUGAUUUUCUUGA